GUAUUUAGCGUUUUGGGCGAGCGAAGGCAUGCGUUUCAUCACGCGACGUAAGACAUGCAACGCAGUGUGACUUCGCUCACUGCACGGUCUGUCCCGGCCGCUGCUUUGGCGUCGGCCUUGAGAGAGAGCGCUGGUCGUGUAGAUCCUCAAGGCAAGCCUGGCUGUUGUCCUUCUCGUGGUUGCCGCCUGUUCUUGGUCUGGUUCCUUAAGAAACAGACGUAACUAAAACAGUCAGACGUAUCCCUUCUUCCUUAACACCCCUCCCAUCCUUAUCCCGAUUUCCUGCCCCUCCCAGGCUACCACGAGCCUUGAGUUCUCAACCUCAGAAAGAGUGGCCAUGGUCACCUUGGGAAAGUACCAUGCGUAAUCUCCCCCUAAUUCAAGGUGUGAUGCGAACCGUGCCGAGGAACGCGUGGCUGAGAGGGAGCUCAGUCUCUAACGGUGCCUGCCCGAGACCAGAGCGAUUCGGUGCAGUAUUUUAGCUCUUCCCUCGGCAUGCGGGGCUCUGCCGAGGGUGACCGUUUACUUCCCUAGCUACUCGUGGGAACAUCAUGAAUUCUGAAUCCGAUAACCAAAACAUACCUCAAUCUUCUUCGGGAGAAACGUCUGCUGUGACGUCGACCAGCACAAACAACACGACUCAACCUGCAGGAGGCCAAGCCGUUCGCAAGACCGAAAGGCUUAGUGGAGCAGCCAGAAAAAGGUUCAGGAGGCUUGCUGCGACAAACAUGCCCAAGGAAGAGGCCCUAGCUCUUUGUAAAAAGCCCUGGAGCGAAAUCCCGAUUGAGAAACCGCCUCCAGAUCCAAAGGCAAAAGCAAAAAAGCGCUCUCAAUGGGAGGUUGAAGAAUCUAAGAGAGUUGAACAGGAAAAGCCCAAGAAAAUGACCAAGGUGGAACAUACCGCACCACCACCCUCACCACCACCACCGUCAUCAUCACCUCCACCAACGAAACACCACCACCAAAACCUGCCCAAGCCGAAAAAAAAUGCCGCAGCAGGUCCCUCUAGAGUAGGUAUCCGCAACUCGAUACCAAUGAGUGAGGAGCAGAUGCGGCUCGUUCACCAGGCUUUAUUAAUGUCUAUCGAGAGAAAUGGAGUGGGGCUCAAAUUUGCUGGCUUCACUCACAAGGAAGGAUGGAUUGUGGUGACUUGUGUCAACCAGGAUAGCCACGACUGGCUCGUAGAAGAAGUUGCUAACAUAAAGCCGUGGCCUGAGGCGGAACUCUCUGCGAUCUUGGAGAGAAACCUGCCGAAGCGCCAUGUUGCGUACACCUACCUGCCCAACAGUGAAGCAGACACAGUCGAAAAAGCUUUGAAGUUGCUGCGGGUGCAAAAUGAGGGCCUUAACACUGAGUUUUGGAGGAUACUCCGCCAGAAGGCCGACGGGAGUGCGUUUCAAGUAGCCUUCUCACUAGACGACGCGUCGGUGGAGGCUCUCGAGGAGGCGGAAGGAAAGGCUGUCCUUGGAUUUAAAGUCAUAAAUUUUAGUAUUAACAAGGGCACGUCGGUAUAUGAAAAGCAUCAGCACGACCACACAUCAAAAGAAUCAACACGACCAUCGACUUCUUCGUACAAACAAAAAGUGGCCAGAAAACAAGAUUCAAGGAGAAUCACUCCAGACACGUCUCGUCAACGGCAUCCACCAAGGUCAACACUGGGCAGGGGUGAGACUGCGAGAGAUGGCAAAAACAGUAAAAGGUUCAGAAGCGAUGAAGGAACUGAAGGACGACUUCGUGCUAGUCCUAGGGCGCCUCAUACUCCUACAUUACCAGAUCAAGGAUUAUAUAGCUGGCCAGGCUCCUCAAUGUGGCCGGGCAGUCUUCCGUCUGGUGGAAUGCUGCUUCAGCAAAUGCAAUUCAAUCCUCAAUUUGAUACAAUACCAGUCCAGAUUCAGCCGCAACAUCCUUUCUUUGGCAGCCACUGCAGUCAGCAAGAUUAUUAUCAAAACUAGAAGCCAUUUACCAAAGUAUUGCACAGUUCAUAAUAAGAACAAAAUUAUCUGUUCUAGAAUCCAGGAAAUAUUGAAUAGGGCGUAUACAAAGGAACCCCUAUAAUUUAGAAGUGCUCUCGAGUUUCUAGACUCCAAAGUACUCAGAGAAAAAAAUACCUAUUUAUUUUAUAGAGAUCUACAUACAAAAAGACAACGAUAAUUAUUUUUUAUGCCAAAAAUGACAAUGACUGCAUUUGCUGUGUUGUGACUUGUGACAGUUAACUUUAUGUGAGAAAUAGUGUUGAGAAUUUUUGUACCUGAUUUUGUUCUAUUUUCUUUUAAAAUGUCUGUAUUCGAUGGAGAGAUCGAAUUCCAGUCGGUCUAUAUGGUCGACUUUGCCAAGAAAAAUAAACCUAAAAGUCCGCGUCGCAAAGCGAUCGACGACAACUGCCUGAUCGUCGGCCUGAGCCGCGACGCGCUCAAAGCUAAGGACGCGCCGCGGCGCUGUCCGGACGUGCUUUGCCCUAUCGACCAUGAGUUCUACAAGAAGGCUGUGGACAGGUUUGCAGAAGACCACCCAAAGCUGACUAAAAUGUACAUGUCGGAAGACAUCGAUCCAACUCCAAU